GAAAAUUGUCUACAAAUUGUUAAAUUUUUAUAUUUUUGCAAACUGUCUCUAUUUUUUGUCACACCAUUUUAUAUAGCUUAAUUUAAAAUUACAUUAAAAUUACGAAUAGCGCCGCGUAAACUAUUGCAAAAAUAAUGGUACUAUAUUCACAACAGAUCAAUACAAAAUUUCAGUUAGUUUUACCAACUCUAUUCUUUGUAGGAGAAAUUUUAUAUGGAAUGAAACUUAGAACGUAAUAUUGGCUCUAUUUCAUCGAACAUCACUGUAUGUAAUUAUUUGAGAAUAGUUUUGUUUCAUUCUGGUAAUUUUUCCCAAUAAAUUUCCUUAAUAUUCCACGUUUAAAGGUUUAAGUCUUCCUGGCGACUGUAGGCGACAUAGUGAACCAAAUGGAAAAACCGUAAAUGAGGACCGAUAUGAUUGUCCUGGCGAUUUCCCAAUAAAUUUCCUUAAUAUUCCACGUUUAAAGGUUUAAGUCUUCCUGGCGACUGUAGGCGACAUAGUGAACCAAAUGGGAAAACCGUAAAUGAGGAUCGAUAUGAUUGUCCUGGCGAUUUCCUGCGUUAUUAUUGAAUUUCAACAGUUUGUCAAAUUUUAUUCCCACUUACUUUAUUGAGUUUUUAAUCGGAAUUUCCACCCCAUUUUAAUAAAGUCUCAAUGAUUUACCAGAUGCAUUUCUGAUGCAAAUGUUCAGAGCUUCUGAUGGUGAAAUGUUAUGUGAAUAAAUGAGGCAAUCAUCGGCAUAGAGAAUAACCUUAGAGUUGUUGUACUGAUGAGGGAAAUCAUGGAGGAAUUUAUUAAAAAGAAAUUGCACUAAUAUGCUGCCCUGAAGAACUCCAAUGUUGACAGUGCUGAUUUCCGAUAUGGUGUUGUUGAUUUGGUCGCAGACUUCUCUUUUAGUGAAAUAAUUAUUCAAUAUUUUCAGAAUAUAAGGAUCAAUGCCAAGAUCGAAUAAUUUACCAAUAUUGGACAAUAAGGAUAUCGGUCGAAAUUCCUCUAGCUUCUUACUAUCUCUUUUCUUUUUGAUAGUCAGAAUUUUUGCUAUCAAAUUAAUACGCCCAGAAACUUUUUACGAUUUUGUUUACAUUGUUUUUGGCUAUAGUUUUCCCUCAUGAGUUUUUCUAAUUCUCUCCUUUCGACUAUCAAUAAACUUUUUGUAGGCAGUACACCCUAUUUAAUUUGCAGGAUGCCCCACAAUUCACAUAAUAUGAAUCUGAGGCUUCAGAUUUUGAUUUUUAACAUACGCCUGGAAUGUUUUUUAUAAAAUUUUACGCACUUGUACUCAGAAUUGCAAUUCUUUAAUAUAUUCGCUGACACCUGUGACCAUUCUAAUUUUUUUCGGUCUUUCCCACUGACUAGCAGAUAUUUAAUAUGUGAAAUGUCGCUAAGUGUUCUCCUAGGUUUUAACUUGAUCAGAAACAACAACCAGUAUUAUUCUCACGUAAUAUAACCAUCAUUUCCGUGUGUACCAAUGCACCAAAUAAAGCUUGCUUUUAUGUUUAUUGACGUUUCUUAUUUUAAAAUUAAUUUUUGGUGUCUACGCUUUUAAUUGCUCAACUAGGCGCUUUAUAUUUACAUUGUAUAAUAAUAUUGGUGGGCAAUAUGGCGUUCCCUUUGUUGUAGCCGUGUCAGCCUUUUCAUUUCUUCCCAUCUUGGGACGUUCUUCAUUGUUCUCAAUUUCCACUCCAGCAAGUAAAUCGUAUCUGUUUUCACCCAAAUGGGAGACACUAAUAUUGGUAGGUGAUCCAUUAGAUACCUACCAACAACAAACAACAGUUGAUGACCCAUCAACUGUUGUUGACCAUCGACAUUACAAUCGCCAUCCAAGCCGUCUUCUUCCAUGUUCCACAGAAUAUUGCAAAGAGUGUGCGGGAAAAUAGUUAAAAUUAAUUGAAAAAUACACAAAAAAAUAAAUUAUGCGCUAAAGAAAAACCUCCUCUGUCGUUGACAGUGAUACCGUAUCCCAGUCAUAAGAAAGCAACCAGGGUUCACUUAGACCUAGUCCUUAGUCCACACUAGGAAACUUUUGUUGAGAAGCAUUUUCUUAAUUCUCUUUUAAAGUUUCCUUAAUGCCCACACAGAAACUUUUGUUACAGAAACUACGUAGUAAUUGCAUUGAUUUGUUGUACGAAUGAUAAGAAUAACAAAACAAGUUUCCGAGUACGGAGAACUUCGUACCGCGUGAGAAAUAAAUGAUAUUUUUUCUCUCUUACGUGAAAUCAAAAGUAUAUAAGAUGAAAUCAAUUCAAUAUCUGAUCGUUAUUUUUUUAUGAAAGUUGUAUACAACUGUCAAAAUGUACAACUUCGAGUUGCCAGAUGCACAAACAAGUCAUUUAUUUGCAUAGGUAUUAAUUCAUUUUUUUUUUUUUUUUGUUAAAAAAUGUAUUUGUUUUAUGUGGAGAAUUUUGAGCAUGUGGGAUUUGCAUUAUUUACGGUAUAUACACUUUUUGGGCAUAAAUCAAGCUUUCUGAUCCAGCAGAUUUUGAAACUUUUGUUUCUACAUGAUAGUCAUUGUUCUUGUGACUACAAGAAAGGAAAAAAAGUUAUCCGCACUAUUAAGGUUCGGGAGUUAUGGUCCUCCAAAGUUUUAAUAUAUAAUUGGAUAUAUUUUGAUUACUGAUUAACGGAAUGGUCGAUAUAGGUAUCAUUGAAAAGUGCUUCCAAUUGAUGUGUAAGAUAACAAAUAUCAUUAACCCAUUGAAAACCAGGAUGAUUUUUUAUGUUUUUUCCUUUGAAUUUUUUUUUAAAAAGUACCGUUAUUUCUAAAACAUAUUGAUAUCUCAUCUUACAUAAAAGUACCGUUAUUUCUAAAACAUAUUGAUUAAAAUUUGUAGACAAUAUUUGGGGUUUUCCUUUGAUAUAUGUUUGAAAGCUGUAACUCAUGAAAUGCAGGUGUUAUUUAACUUUAAAAUUUGAUAAUUUAAAUAAACUUUUAUUUUUAUGAUAUGUAAUUAAAAAUCUCAAGUGCUUAUAAUUUUAUAUGGUUGAUAUUGGUAUCAGUGAAUAUUAUAACCAGGGCAAGGAUUUCUAUGCAAAUGCAUGUUUGUAGUCAGUAAUUCAAAAUAACUUUAAAGUAGUUUUCUUUUCGAAUUAAAUAAUUUGCUACAAAAUGGCAUCU